ensembl:lncRNA
GGAGAACAACACAACAGACAACACAGACGGUUCUGCAGGUAGUGGAGAACAACACAACAGACAACACAGACAACGGUUCUGUAGGUAGUGGAGAACAACACAACAGACAACACAGACGGUUCUGCAGGUAGUGGAGAACAACACAACAGACAACACAGACAACGGUUCUGUAGGUAGUGGAGAACAACACAACAGACAACACAGACAACGGUUCUGCAGGUAGUGGAGAACAACACAACAGACAACAGACAACGGUUCUGCAGGUAGUGGAGAACAACACAACAGACAACAGACAACGGUUCUGCAGGUAGUGGAGAACAACACAACAGACAACAGACAACGGUUCUGCAGGUAGUGGAGAACAACACAACAGACAACACAGACAACGGUUCUGUAGGUAGUGGAGAACAACACAACAGACAACACAGACAACGGUUCUGCAGGUACGACAUAUGAGUAGACAGUUUAAUAGAUCCUGUAUAUGCAAGCAUCAUAGCAUACCAGUGAUGAUACGGAAGGCAGUGGCAGGAAGAUCAGGUUAGAAACCUGCCCAGAUAAAUGGACUGAUUUGGUGUUCCUGUCUCCACUUGUCUCUUUAGUCUCUGCUAUUCCGAAAUGUCUGCAUGCUUUUCCAGCACUUUUUCAUGUCAACAUAGUUUAACACCAGAUUGCUGACUAACACCAAAAUGGUUAGUAUGGACAUAUUAGUCCUUGUGUGUAUCCUGUGGUCUGGGAAUUGGAGGGGUUAACACUUCCUGCCAAGCCACAUAUUUAAACUCUAUUCUUCAGUAGGUGCUACUCGAGAGCGGCGAGACUCAGAGCAAACAACUAGUAUUGUAAAGGGAUAAUCCCUAUGGAACACCUGCCAACAUCAUCUGUGUGCUUACAGUUGCUCAUAUUCCCUCUUUUUCUAAACGUGUUGGGAGAAUGACUCUUCAGUCACCGAUAUGUCACCGAUAUGACAUCACACUCUCCCUGGCGGCAGGGUAGCCUAGUGGUUAGAGCGUUGGACUAGUAACCGGAAGGUGGGUUCUGAUAUGCUAAAGAGAAGACCUGGCAACAUUCUCUAGUGGUUCUGAUAUGCUAAAGAGAACACCUGGCAACAUUCUCUAGUGGUUCUGAUAUGCUAAAGAGAACACCUGGCAACAUUCUCUAGUGGUUCUGAUAUGCUAAAGAGAACACC